UACGUGGUUAAGAGUCUGGAAGAACGGAUACUGCCUGGCAUCACUUCACUCAUGAUACUGGAGGCUUCAUAGGCUCCAAACCUUGCAUGUGGACAUAGGGUUUACAGAAUAGCCAGAUGUGUUGAAUUCUGGAAAACAUGCUAUGUUUCUGAAGUAGGAAUUUUUGUGAAUUUAAGGAAAUGAUGCAAGAUAAGAUAUGAUUCUGAAGAAAAUCCGCAACAAGAAAAUAUUAUAGCAAAAAAACAGGAGUCAGUACCUGAUCUGGAGAUCGUAGCCUGGAUCAACCUAAGAUGGU